UAGUAAGCUCCCCCCAUCAUUUGGAGAGCCCCAUGUUGCCACUCACCCACACUCAGGUUUGCCCUGCUGCCAGCGCCUUGCGCUCGGUGUCGGCUACCCGCGUGAAUGGUUCGAGCGCACUGGCCGGCUUUUAUUUUGGGUAUUGGUUUAGCCACUGGCGCGCCUGAUACCUGAAAUCGGCGCCCACUACUCAAGGGGUCGCCUACCAGAGAAAUCUAAACCCCCGGUCGGCUCCCCGACCGGGGG
rnacentral:sRNA from 1 species